GGAGGAAAGCAGGGGAUCGCAAGACCUCGCGCUCUUGGAGCGGCCGAUGUCGGAUUAGCUAGUUGGUGAGGUAAAAGCUCACCAAGGCGACGAUCCGUAGCAGGUCUGAGAGGAUGAUCUGCCACACUGGGACUGAGACACGGCCCAGACUCCUACGGGAGGCAGCAGUGGGGAAUUUUGGACAAUGGGGGCAACCCUGAUCCAGCCAUGCCGCGUGAGUGAAGAAGGCCUUCGGGUUGUAAAGCUCUUUCGGCGGGGAAGAAAUGGCAACGGCUAAUAUCCGUUGUUGAUGACGGUACCCGCAUAAGAAGCACCGGCUAACUACGUGCCAGCAGCCGCGGUAAUACGUAGGGUGCGAGCGUUAAUCGGAAUUACUGGGCGUAAAGCGUGCGCAGGCGGUUUCGUAAGACAGACGUGAAAUCCCCGGGCUCAACCUGGGAACUGCGUUUGAAACUACAAGGCUAG
rnacentral:rRNA from 1 species